AUUGAACGCUGGCGGCAUGCCUAACACAUGCAAGUCGAACGGCAGCACGGCAGUAGCAAUACUGUGGGUGGCGAGUGGCGGACGGGUGAGGAAUACGUCGGAAUCUGCCCAAUCGUGGGGGAUAACUAACCGAAAGGUUAGCUAAUACCGCAUACGACCGAGAGGUGAAAGCGGGGGACCGCAAGGCCUCGCGCGAUUGGAUGAGCCGACGUCGGAUUAGCUUGUUGGUGGGGUAAAGGCCUACCAAGGCAACGAUCCGUAGCUGGUCUGAGAGGAUGAUCAGCCACACUGGAACUGAGACACGGUCCAGACUCCUACGGGAGGCAGCAGUGGGGAAUAUUGGACAAUGGGCGGAAGCCUGAUCCAGCAAUGCCGCGUGUGUG
rnacentral:rRNA from 1 species